GAUGAAGAACGUAGUGAAAUGCGAUACGUAAUGUGAAUUGCAGAAUUCAGUGAAUCAUCGAAUCUUUGAACGCAUAUUGCGCUCUCUGGUAUUCCGGAGAGCAUGCUUGUUUGAGUAUCAGUAAACACCUCAACUUCCAUAUCUUUUUUGAAAUGGGAGUUGGACUUGAGUGAUCCCAACGCUUUUCCUCACCGAAAAGUGGCGGGUUACUUGAAAUGCAGGUGCAGCUAGACUUUUCUCUGAGCUAUAAGCAUAUCUAUUUAGUCUGCCUAAAAAACAGAUUAUUACCUUUGCUGCAGCUAACAUAAAGGAGAUUAGUUCUUGUGCUGACUGAUGCAGGAUUCACAAAGACGGCUUCGGCCGACUUUGUAAACUCGAUCUCAAAUCAAGUAAGACUACCCGCUGAACUUAAGCAUAUCAAUAAGCGGAGGA
rnacentral:misc_RNA from 1 species